CAUUACUGCAUUUAUUUUAAAUGGUGGCAUGGGGAGCUCAGGUGAUCUGUUAGCUGGUUCCAGAAAGAGUAUUAGACUUUGAGAGAAGCUAUGAAUAAAAACUCCAUUCUGUUGCCUCAGUGAUUAGCUAAGCCAUAUUGUAAUCUCAUGGUUUACUACAUGUGGGGCUGAGUGCUUACUGCUUAAAAAAAUGAGAGUGACUAAAAUGUCUUUAGACAAGAACUGAUUGGAGGGCACUUGUUGGGAUGAGCACAUUAUGUAAGUGCUGAAUCACUAAAUUCUACUCCUGAAACCAUUAUUACACUAUAUGUUAACUAACUUGGGUUUAAAUAAAAUGAAAAAAUAAUAAAAGAACUGAUAUUUUCAAACAUUGUGAUCUAAUAUUUACAAAGUGUUGGACAUCCAGGAGGUGGUAGUAGUGAGUAAUGAUUAAGAGUAUGGACACAACCCAGGCCGAGAAGAUUGAUUACCUUUCCAAAACAGGAGUAACCUAAGUGGUUCAGAUGUGGCAGAUACACGAAGGCAUCUAAACAAAUGAGAGACAUUUUUCACAGACUGAUAAUGUUAAAGUCAGCUGGAGGAGACUACAUCUCCUCAAACCCUAGAUUGUGUCUUUGAUUCAUUGGAACAAUAUGACUAUUGUAAAAUAUGACAUCAUGGAGACAUUUUCUGAAAUCUGCAAGAGAGGGGUAAGGCAUGAUAAUAGGAUUAGUCAGGCCAGAUUAGUCUCAUAUUGGCCUUACUGGAGUGACUGGUGCAAUUUAAUUCAAUAUUGUCAAAUGGUCAAUCUGAUUACACUUGAGUGUGUGUGUGUGUGUGUGUGUGUGUGUGUGUGUGUUGCAGGAGCAUUUGAAGGGAGAUGCUGGCCAAUGUAUUUAUGGGAAUUAGCUGGCAGGUAAAAACACUAAAGGAGAGGAUUAUAUGUGAUUGUAUGUGUGUUAGUUAUCUGUUGCUGUGUAACACAUUGCCACCAAAUUUAGAAGGUUAUAAACAACCUUAACCAUUUAGUAUCUAUCACCUUUUCUGUGGGCUAGAAGUAUGGGAACAACUUGACCAAACCGUUGUGGCUUGAAGAUUCUCAUGAGAUAGCAGUCAGAUGUCAGGUGAGACUACUGGGAUAUGAAGACUUGACUGAGGCUGUAACAUCCUCUACAAAGGUAACUAACUCCUAUGAUUGGCAAAUUGGAGCUGACUAUUGGUGGAAGUUCUCAAUUCCUCUCCCGGAGUGCCUUUCCAUGUGGCUCGUUGACUGUCCUUAUGAUAUGGUGGCUGGGUUCCACCAAAGUGAGCCAAUCAAAGAAACUGAAGCUUCAAUACCAUUGGUAGCCGAUCGUUGGAAGUCACACUGUCAUGUCUGCCUGUACUUUAGUUAUCACAUAAGCCAGCUCUGAUUCGUAUAGAAGGAGACUAAUAUACAGCAUGAAUACAGAAAGUGAGGAUAAUCAGGGGCCAUUUUGGAGGCUGGCUGUCACAAUCCAUUAAGAGAAAUUCCCUUUCCUUUUUCAAGUAAUUGGGAUAGAACAUGUUUUCACUAGGAAGUCCUUGUGAAUACUUGUCAUCAGACUGUGAUGUUGAAUCACGAUAUUUAUUAUAUGCAGGAGUACUGACAGAAAGUAGAAGUACAUUGGAAUUACCCUGUGGAGUAAUUAUGGUAGAAUUGCUAUCAAAUAGUGGUAAGAGAGAGAAAAAAAUCUGUCCCCCAGUCAGAUUAUCACAUUAAAAGAACAAACUGAACACAAGCAAACAAAGCAAAAAAACAUAAUGACUCUGGAAUGGCUAAAAAAAAAAACAAAAAAAAAAAAACUGGGCUAACUUUUUGUAUUAGAGACCAAUCUGAAAAACCUGUCCUUUUUUGAAAAAUAUAUAUUUUCUACCUCAAAAGAGAAAGGAAGAAGCAUAUAGUCUGCGAACAUUCAAGAACAUGACACAAGUGGAUUGCCAAGAGGCUCUCUUCUGUUUUCUGCCAAGUACCUCAGUGAUUGAACUGUACUCCUCAUUUGAGUUUACUGUAUUAUUGAAACUGUCAUGUUGUGUUAAAUGGAACCAUUUGUUUCUCCACACUGGCUGAUGAGUGUUUUAGGUUGGCAUUGUACUUGGCUGGCCUAUAUUCCAGUGUACGAUGACUAAUUAGCCUGAACUUGAGUGACAGAGUUGGGAAGGGAGUAGUGAGUGGUUAGCGAGAUGUCAAUCCACUAUUGCCAACUCCUACCUCAAAAUUUCUUGUUCUAGGUCUCCAUUUAUCAUCCACGUCAACUUUUCUGCUCGUUGGCUCCUGCUUGACAUCUAAAUCACAAUUUGGGUGACCAAAGGCAUUCUGACACGUAAACAUUCCUUUGACCAAGUUGAGUAUGUAAUAAAAAUAAGUCCCAUAAGGGAUUCUAGCCGCUGUGAUUGAUUGGAAACUAUUCUAGGGCUGCAAAACUUGUGGCAUUCAAAAUAAUUUUUAAUAUGGGAGGACUUCAGAAAUGUUGUAAGAGAACUCUGCAAAUUCAAGUUGUAUUGAUUCAUGGGUGAAUAACAAACCCAAGCACCAUAGUAUUUUCUUCCUCUCUAGAUCUGUGCUGUAAUGAUAUCCAAGUUUCAAAAUAUUACUUGUCUUGUAAUCUACCCAGAUUCUUGGCAUUUUAGCGGCUGUGGCCUAGAUUCGCAUUGCCCAUCCUAAUAUCCAUCUCCUCUUCUUAGAACUCUAAGGCACGUGAUUGUCUGGAAUAAGGACAACAUUUGCAGUUAGAUAUGGUCGUAUGCCUAAAGGUCUAGCCAAAGGCAUAUAAAUGGAAGUGCAUGACAGUUUCUGGGAAACUUCUGUAAGAUAGAUUGUAGGUGUGCUUUAAACCUGCUUCCCCCUUACUUGCUUCCUUCUGUUUAGAACUCAGAUGUGAUGGUUGGAGCACCAUGUUGGACCAAGUAUAAGUAAUCAUGAAAUGGAACUGAAAGCAGUCCAAGUCCCAGGUGAUGAGGAAGCCACCAUAUCAGCUCUUGCUUGCCUAUCCUGGACGUCACGUGAGAAGGAAAUUUCUAUUUGGUGAAGGUUUGCAAGAGAGCAGCCGCUUGGGAAUCCUGAUGCCGAGAGUGAUAAUAAUGCCUAUUAGACGUCAGACAAGUGUUGAGAAAAGUUACAAACUUUUAGAAUGUUUCCAAAAAUUAUUCACAACAUUCUUGAGGUUACACAACUACUUACCAUUUCUGGCUGUCCUUGGAGAAGAGACCCAGGAUGAUUCAGCCAAGCCGCAGGCAGACACGGUUUCAUAGAGUCUUUGCUGGUGUUAAAGGGAAGCCCUGACUCCAGCCCUUUUCCAUAGGGAUGUGAUUUGCUUUUAAGAGCCAGACAGAUGCUACAAAUCUUUCUUCCCAAGAAAAAAACAUUCUGAGAUUCCUCUCAACAAUUGAACACACCCAAGCUAGGCUGCUGGAGGAAUGUAAGGGACAUGUAGACAGAAUCAGCCACUGACAGCCAGUCAACCCGACAUGCAGGUGAUGUGGGAGGGGGUGUGGACUUUGGGAGGUGGUAGUACCUUUACAAAGAAGGCUCCAGAGAAACGCCUUGCCCCUUCUAACAUGCAAGGGCACAGCAAGAAAGCACUAUCAACCAGGAAGAUGGCCCUCAUCAGAAUCUGACCAUGCUGGAGCCUUCAUCUUGGACUUCUCAGCCUGCAGAAUGGUGAAAAAUAAGUUUUUGUGUUUUAUAAGCCACCCAGUCUAUGGUAUUUUGUUAUAGCAGCCCAAAUGGACUAAAAUAUGUGCACUCUUGAAACUAUCACCAAAAUCAAGACAAUGAACAAAUUCAUCACUCCCAAAAAAUAUCCUCAUACUGUUUGUAAUAUCUCUCACUGGACUCAUCCCUGUCCCUCUCAAGUUUCUGGACAACAGUGAUCUGCUUUCUGUCCCCAUAGAUUAGUUUGCAUUUCUUACAAUUUUAUAUCAGUGGACUAAUACAGUAUGUACUCUUUUUUGUCUUUUACUCAGCAUUAUUAUUUUGAGAUUCCUCCAUAUGGUAGUGUGUAUCACUAGUUUAUUCUUUUUUUAUUGCUGUGUAAUAUUCAAUUACAUGGAUAGACCACUUUUGUUUAUCCAUUAACCUAUUGAUGGCAUUUGGGUGGCUUCUAGUUUUUAGCUACUAUAAUGAAGCUGCUACAAAUAUUUAUG